CGGCCUGGCGUGGCGCUUCGACUGUAGCUGUGCCAACGUGUUAUGAUGCCAUCUCGUACCAAUCUGGCUGCUGGGAUCCCCAGUAGUAAAGUGAAAUACUCAAGGCUUUCUAGCACAGACGAUGGCUACAUUGACCUUCAGGGAGAAACUAGCUACUGAAGCCAGCAGAUUGUGGGGAACUUCCUUCUUUCCUGAUGUCAUGAGAUCCAAUUUAUUAAAGGUACUUUUUGUGACAAACAUUUAAGAAAAGCCCUCCUAAGAUCCCUUAUAAGGCCAUUGCACUUGCCACCGUGCUGUUUUUGAUUGGCGCCUUUCUCAUUAUCAUAGGCUCCCUCCUGCUGGCAGGCUACAUCAGCAAAAUGGUAAGUAUGUGGGCAUGUGCUGUGAAAUCUUUAGAAUGGGAGUCAGGAUCUAUUGUUUUUAUUUCCAAAACUGGUACAGCAUAUUUCAGCAGAAAGAAGAGAGGACUCUUAGAUUUUGUUCUCUGAUAACAAAACAUGGGUUUCUUCCUUUUGAACAACAGCAGACUUCUCCCAGAGUUCUGCUGUGAUGGGUGGUGGCAGGUGGGCAAACUCAGCCUCUGAGAUGUUAGACAACUUGCCCACUGUCGUAGUUUGGAAGAGCUGAAAUGAGCUUUGCUUCCAGAACUCCUGACUGGUAAAGGGCUGUAGCUGGAGUAGCAUGUUGUCAUUGUAGCUUUUCAGUCUCACAGACAUACUGGUAGUAUUUGGGGAGAAGCAGUAAGGCUGGUACAAGUGUGAGGCCGCUGACCUAAGCCAGCACUUUUGGUUCAGGAAUCAGAUCCUUCUUACAUUGGGUUUAGUUGGAGUUCUGUUCAACAUCAAUAUGUUAUCUUAGAAGCAUAAAGUAGUGUUUGGUGGUUCUUUCUCUGGGCUGUCUAUAUGCACAGAGUCUAAGUGGUUCUGAACUGAUCUUGACCAUAAUUCACAUCGGUUCUUCAGAAUGCACUGGGCCAGAGGAUGAUGGUCACAUGACUCCAGAAAGAUCACAGCGAAAGCUGAAACUGUGGGUAUUAUCAUUGGAACUGGGAAUUUCUGUAGAUAAAGUGGCUGUGUAUGGUUUUUAAGAAGUGUGUCUAUUUGCUUUAGGUUCUUAGCUGUUCAAAACUGUGAUGUGGCCACCAGAGGCUUCCCUGGUGCAGUCUAAAGUUGAACCUGUAACUUCAGGACUGUCUUCACAAGUUUCACUUGCAGCAUGCAGUAUAUUGACCCCAGGAGUAUAAUAAGGAGUCUGUUAAUGAUACAAUAAAAAUUAAAAGUGGAGGUGAGCACCACAUAAAACAAAUACCAUUUCACCUUGUGUGGUUUAUAAAAGACUACUUUAUAAAUAGGGAUAAAGCUGUUUAAUUAAGAAAUUAAAAUCACUGCUAGAUCUUUUUUUCACUUUCUAUUACAAAAAUUUCAAACAUAUCAGAAAUAAAGUACGAUAGUGAGCCCCCACAUAUCCACUACCCAGCAUCAACAGUUAUCAACAUUUUGCCAAUCUUGUUUUGUCUAUUCCCCCCCCUUUUUUUCCCCUGUAUAUUAGAGCAAAUACCAAAUAUAUCCAUUUUUCUGGUAAAUUCUUACGUGGGUCUUCAGUAUGUGUCUCUUAACAGUUUUUAUGUAACCCUGAUGCCCUGGUGGCGUAGUGGUUAAGAGCUUGGCUGCUUACCAAAAAGGUCAGCGGUUCAAAUCUCCCAGGCACUCCCUGGAAACUAUGGGGCAGUUCUGCUCUGUCCUGUAGAGUCUCUGUGAGUCGGAACUGACUCGCUGGCACUUAACAACAACAGCUACUAUCUUCUUAAUAUCAUUUACUUUAUUGUUCCUCUGUUCUUCAUAUUUUCGCAAAUAGUUUGUUAGAUUUAAGGGAUUGUUUACAUUCACGUUUAGUUCUGUUUUGUUUUAGAUAGAAUAUUUCAUAAGAGGUGCUGUGUAUUUCCUAUAGCGCCAAACCAAAAAAACCAAACUUGCUGCU